rnacentral:rRNA from 1 species
UACGGAGGGUGCAAGCGUUAUCCGGAUUCACUGGGUUUAAAGGGUGCGUAGGAGGGCAGGUAAGUCAGUGGUGAAAUCUCCAAGCUUAACUUGGAAACUGCCGUUGAUACUAUCUGUCUUGAAUACCGUGGAGGUGAGCGGAAUAUGUCAUGUAGCGGUGAAAUGCUUAGAUAUGACAUAGAACACCAAUUGCGAAGACAGCUCGCUACACGAAUAUUGACUCUGAGGCACGAAAGCGUGGGGAUCAAACAGG